ensembl:lncRNA
AUGAUGCCCAGAUUGAUCAACACUAUCCGAAAGGCUUUCUUUUUCACAGGGUGCAUCACCUCUUUUCCUGCCACAGAGCGCCGAAGCACCCAGAUGAUGGAAAUGUUGCAGUACAGCAUGACUGCAAAAGCAAAAAGGAUAACUCCACUGAAGAUUUCCGCCACACUCAAGACUCCCAAAAUGGACUUGGUGAGCCCGUGUGCCAGGAUGAGGCCCCAAACCAGCACAGACACGCAGACGCGGGCCAAGCCGUCUCGUGGCUGGAUGGCUCAGUUGGCUGUGUGCAGGACUCGUGCAUGGAAAAACCCUGUACAAUUGAAGACCCUUCACGCUACUUACUAACUAUGUAGCCAAGAGGGGGGCUCAAGUCUGGGUCUCCGUGUGCCAGUCCCCAGCCCGGAUAAAACUCAGGAUUGUCUCAGGAACGGCAUCUAGACUAAAAAUAUUUGGCAAACCACCUGUGUCAAUCAGUGAGAACUGAAUUGCUGUGGCGAACCCUGAAGGAAUAUGCCGAAAGGUAACCAACAGAUCAUGCACCUUUUUCGGCUGAAUAUAGAUAAAAAUGGUUUAUUUAACCUAUCGUGACGAUCAGCAUAUAUAUCGCUUUCCUUUGUCGGUGCAGUCAAGGUCGGUGCCGGCUCAGCUAAGCGCCACGUAACAAAUAGUCAGCUUAUUGUGAAAAAAAGCGAUCUAAACUGAAAAAAUAACAAGAAUAAAGUACUAAAAACUGAUUGAAUAUUUCUUUCGUUUUUUUAGUGACCAUGGUAUAAGCGGGAUAAUGGCCUUCAAAGUGUAUAAUAUCAGAAAUGAAUGCCCUUUGCUGAAGCAACAUAACAUACAUUUUUGAUACCAUGUUAUCAAAACAGAGCUUACUGGUACUAAUGUCCAAAAACAAAAUGUGAUUUGAAAAAAAAAAAAAUCAAAACUUAUGCCAGUUAUGUUGAAAUAAAUCUAUUAGGUUUGUUUCUUUUAUAAAACUAGAAUAUUGCUUCAACUUUAUUCACUUUUUGUCUUCAUUUGAUAAUUUCCCAAAUUUUGCGGUGCUGAAAUGUUUUUUUGCUGUUACAUAAACCAACAAAAUAUCAGCAGCACACCAAGUUUUAUUUUUGAUCCAUCUAUGAGUUGUUUUGAGGCAUUUCAAUACCCAUUGGCAUACAUUAUGGAAUAAUAUGAAUAUCAGGAUCAAGAGAUGUCUAGGUUUUGUUUUUAUCAGCUAUUGGCCUGUAGAAACGGAAAGGAUUUUGCUUUCAAGGCCAAGCUAAAUUACAGAAAAUAUAAAGCUGAAGUAGGUGGAUGCAUAUUUGUAUCAGUAGGGGUUAAGGGGUCAAAUAUUGUUCUUCCUAUUUCCCAUUACUGAAACCUACAGCUGGUAAAUUAAAGAUAUGAUGAUAUCAUAUCUUUAAAAAUAUGAUAAUAGCUUUAAUAAACAUGGUAAAUGAUAUUAUAGAUUCGUAUAUUUAAUAAAUGUAUAUUUGUCAGCCUGCUGUUUUUUCAGUUUCUUCUUCUAGAAAAUUAGAUUCAAACUGGUAGAUGAACUUACGAGAAAGAGUGGUCCCACAUCCUUCAUCCCAUAUGCAAAUCUUACAAAGUAAAAGAUGCGAUCGUCAUGCAGCACUAGUCGGUUGACCAUGUCUAGGGGCGUCAUCAAGCUGAAGGAGGCAUCCAGCAGUGCAAGGUUGAGGAUGAAGAUGUCCGAUGUGGAAGCGUCAUUUUUUCUGGUGAUGAUCUGCCAGAUGACCAGUAUGUUACAUGGCGCUCCCAUUGCGAAGUUGAACACCUUGACCCCGAAGUAGAACACAAACCCAUAAGGGGCCACAGAACAUUCUGGAUGCUCGUACCACGGCAGAGGGGCCUUGAGGUUGGUGGAGUUGGCGUAAACGGUUCUGUUGUACAUUUCAGGACAAAGUUCUGAUGGUGGUGGAAGAAACUGGGACACAGAAGAAGAAAGUUCAGUUCAGUCUGACUUAUAUGCCAUACUGAGUCAGCGUUUGUAUUUCAUAUUUGCAAUUGGUAAUUUGUAGAAAAGUAUCAAUCAUAUCAAAGAUCUCACCUUCGCAGUCCUUUGGCCUACUUUCUGUCAGCGGAUCCCUGGAACCAGCUCCCAAAGACCAGAACGCAACCAAGCAAGUUAUCUGCAGCCUGUUCCAAACAUUUUCUUACCCACACUGUUCUGUUUUCAGAGACUGGAUUGCUUGGACAUACGUGAAGGGUGUGUUGAAAUAGAGUUAAUGAAGCUGAUUAGUGAAGCAAAACUAAAAAGGGGCAAAUGUUAUCUCAUAACCCCGCCUUUAAACCUCUCUUUGUUAAAAAAAAACAUGCUUUAGAAAAGCCCUGUUGUAAUUGGCUUAUUAAAUUGCCAUUGCGUCUGGUUUUUGUUCUCAUAUUCCCAGUUGUAGGGCUCUAAAGAUUUUAUGUUUUUCUCCCAGAGCAGCUGGUCCAUUGUUGUUGGUCCAUUUGUGUCUGGUGCAGUUCAUGCUGGGGUGCAAAAAGCCUGAAAUAAGGUCUUCUCUCAUGGGUGUGAAAUCUGCAGUAGCACGUAAUAUAACUUCACCUCACUGAGGCAGCAAUGUUCUGUAAACAAGUGAUGCAAGGCCAGCAAAUGAGAAAUCUACUGCAAGAUAUGACUGAACUGUUAAGAAACUAAACUCUGUUGGGGAAAAACACUAAAGCACACAGUGUGUUGUUUGUUUCAUUUUGUUUUUGUUGUUAUGUCCUUAAUGUUUGCCAGAACAACUGCACAAUACAGGACAAUGUAGUUUGGAUCGCUUGAACAAAACGUUUCUUUUUUCAAAUAAUGGGAAAAUGCAAAACUGACCACAUUUCUGACAUGUGUGU